rnacentral:rRNA from 1 species
AGUGAACGCUGGCGGUAGACCUAACACAUGCAAGUCGAACGGCAGCACAGUAAGAGCUUGCUCUUACGGGUGGCGAGUGGCGGACGGGUGAGGAAUACAUCGGAAUCUACUUUUUCGUGGGGGAUAACGUAGGGAAACUUACGCUAAUACCGCAUACGACCUACGGGUGAAAGCAGGGGAGCUUCGGACCUUGCGCGACUGAAUGAGCCGAUGUCGGAUUAGCUAGUUGGCGGGGUAAAGGCCCACCAAGGCGACGAUCCGUAGCUGGUCUGAGAGGAUGAUAAGCCACACUGGAACUGAGACACGGUCCAGACUCCUACGGGAGGCAGCAGUGGGGAAUAUUGGACAAUGGGCGCAAGCCUGAUCCAGCCAUACCGCGUGGGUGAAGAAGGCCUUCGGGUUGUAAAGCCCUUUUGUUGGGAAAGAAAAGCAGCAGGUUAAUCCCCCGCUGUUCUGACGGUACCCAAAGAAUAAGCACCGGCUAACUUCGUG